GACGAACGCUGGCGGCGCGCUUAACACAUGCAAGUCGAGCGAGAACCGAGGCUUCGGCCUCGGGGACAGCGGCGAACGGGUGAGUAACACGUGGGUAAUCUGCCCUCGACACCGGAAUAGCCCGGGGAAACCCGGAUUAAUGCCGGAUGGCCCGCCCGCCUUUCGAGGCGGUCGGAAAAGGUAGCUUUGGCCUCCGGUCGAGGAUGAGCCCGCGGCGGAUUAGCUUGUUGGCGGGGUAACGGCCCACCAAGGCGACGAUCCGUAGCUGGUCUGAGAGGACGACCAGCCACACUGGGACUGAGACACGGCCCAGACUCCUACGGGAGGCAGCAGUGGGGAAUCUUGCGCAAUGGGCGAAAGCCUGACGCAGCGACGCCGCGUGCGGGAAGAAGGCCUUAGGGUUGUAAACCGCUUUCAGGAGGGACGAAGCCACUCGGGUUAAUAGCCCAGAGGGUGACGGUACCUCCAGAAGAAGCCCCGGCUAACUACGUGCCAGCCGCCGCGGUAACAC
rnacentral:rRNA from 1 species